GACGAACGCUGGCGGCGUGCUUAACACAUGCAAGUCGAACGGUGAAGCUCCAGCUUGCUGGAGUGGAUCAGUGGCGAACGGGUGAGUAACACGUGAGCAACCUGCCCCAGACUCUGGAAUAAGCGCUGGAAACGGCGUCUAAUACUGGAUACGAGAUCAAGCCGCAUGGUUAUGGUCUGGAAAGUUUUUCGGUUUGGGAUGGGCUCGCGGCCUAUCAGCUUGUUGGUGAGGUAAUGGCUCACCAAGGCGACGACGGGUAGCCGGCCUGAGAGGGCGACCGGCCACACUGGGACUGAGACACGGCCCAGACUCCUACGGGAGGCAGCAGUGGGGAAUAUUGCACAAUGGGCGAAAGCCUGAUGCAGCGACGCCGCGUGAGGGAUGACGGCCUUCGGGUUGUAAACCUCUUUCAGCAGGGAAGAAGCGAAAGUGACGGUACCUGCAGAAGAAGCGCCGGCUAACUACGUG
rnacentral:rRNA from 1 species